rnacentral:rRNA from 2 species
UAACGACUCUCGGCAACGGAUAUCUCGGCUCUCGCAUCGAUGAAGAACGUAGCGAAAUGCGAUACUUGGUGUGAAUUGCAGAAUCCCGUGAACCAUCGAGUCUUUGAACGCAAGUUGCGCCCGAAGCCAUCAGGUUGAGGGCACGUC